UACGUAGGGGGCAAGCGUUAUCCGGAUUUACUGGGCGUAAAGGGAGCGUAGGCGGUUUAGCAAGUCAGAAGUGAAAGCCCGGGGCUCAACUCCGGGACUGCUUUUGAAACUGUUGAACUAGAUUGCAGGAGAGGUAAGUGGAAUUCCUAGUGUAGCGGUGAAAUGCGUAGAUAUUAGGAGGAACACCAGUGGCGAAGGCGGCUUACUGGACUGUAAAUGACGCUGAGGCUCGAAAGCGUGGGGAGCAAACAGG
rnacentral:rRNA from 1 species